rnacentral:rRNA from 1 species
AUUGAACGCUGGCGGCAUGCUUUACACAUGCAAGUCGAACGGCAGCGCGGGCUUCGGCCUGGCGGCGAGUGGCGAACGGGUGAGUAAUGCAUCGGAACGUGCCCAGUAGUGGGGGAUAGCCCGGCGAAAGCCGGAUUAAUACCGCAUACGACCUGAGGGUGAAAGCGGGGGACCGAAAGGCCUCGCGCUAUUGGAGCGGCCGAUGUCGGAUUAGCUAGUUGGUGGGGUAAAGGCUUACCAAGGCGACGAUCCGUAGCUGGUCUGAGAGGACGACCAGCCACACUGGAACUGAGACACGGCCCAGACUCCUACGGGAGGAAGCGGUGGGGAAUUUGGGACAAGGGGGGAAACCCGGAUCCAGCCAUGCGGCGGGCGGGAAGAGGGCCUUCGGGUUGUAAACCGCUUUUGUUGGGAAAGAAAUCCUCGGGGCUAAUACCCGGGGGGAUGACGGUACCGGAAGAAUAAGCACCGGCUAACUACGUG